rnacentral:rRNA from 1 species
UACGUAGGGCGCAAGCGUUGUCCGGAAUUAUUGGGCGUAAAGAGCCCGUAGGCGGCCUGUUGCGUCCGCUGUGAAAUCCCGGGGCUCAACCCCGGGCGUGCAGUGGAUACGGGCUGGCUGGAGGCAGGCAGGGGAGAACGGAAUUCCUGGUGUAGCGGUGAAAUGCGCAGAUAUCAGGAGGAACACCGAUGGCGAAGGCAGGUCUCUGGGCCAUUACUGACACUGAGAAGCGAAAGCAUGGGGAGCGAACAGG